rnacentral:lncRNA from 1 species
GUUCAAAUGACUAAGAUGUAGUUUUUCUCCGUCCUUGAAUCAGGCUCCACCUGGCACUGCAAGGAGAAAAAGAAGGUCAGAAUCAAGGAAGCAAUUUGCAGACUCGUCGGCAAGACCUAGUCCUCGUGGUUUUGGGGCCGGGAACUAAGAUUAAAAGUUUGAAAACUCAACAUUGCAAGACCCUUAAAGCUCAAUGUUCAUAUGAUUUGCUACUAUACUUGCGGGUCCAUUUUUGCUCUCUAGUAAACUUGAAGAAAUUUUUCCUCAAGAAUUUUCUUAUUCUUCUUCCCAUUUUUCUCCUGAGAAAAAGGGACUGCUGGCAAUAGUAGUUGCUGAAGGUCAUAAUAUAUUUUGAUGAGAAAUCAAAUGCAUAGUUUUAGUUGGGACUUGGGAUAUUAUCCACUGCUGAAAAUUGGGUUUGGUGCUGCCACUCAGUUACAUGUACAGGUUAAUUUUCUACUGUUUAAUUUCCCUUUCUACUCUUAUUGUGGAAUUUUCUUAUUGUGUUAACAGUGCUUUUUUCCCCAAAAAAUGAAAUAAAAUUGUGUAAUCAACUCGAAAUUUGUAGAGAAUAAUACUUAUUACUGUGUAAAGUGCCUGAUUCACCAUCAAGACUGUGACAUGAUAUUACUUAAAGAAUUAUUUUAGUAAAUUCCGGAGCAUAUAGGAAACAGUAACUCAAAUAAAAUGUAAAAUUUCCCAAAUACAAUAUAUCAAAAUACUUGGAGAUCGCUCAUCCGACCAAUGCUUGUAACGACUUGAUAAAAUGAGAAUAUAUUGGAAAUUUCCAACUUAUGUUACAAAAUAACCUGAUCAAUGCAAGAUGUAGCAGGUCCUAUAUAUCAUACAUGAUUUUGCGUUUUAUGAUAGGUACAAAGUAUGAACUAUGUUACAUGAUUGACAUAGAAAUAAAUGAUGAAUAAUCCAAUAGGGAAAAAUAGGAAACCAUUUGACAGUGAGUUUUGAGCAAUUUUCCAGGGAAGUUGAAAGGAAAAAUUAAAAGUUAGUUGAGAUCUCUAUUAAUGUAAGCAUUUCUGGACAUGUUUCGUUAAGUAAGGUGUCCAUAAUUCCCAAGUGUUUAUUUUUUUUUAUUUUUUUUUUGGACACAUCAUUUGUUGUAUUCUUCCUGCAAAUUAGCAUUACACUAGGAAUUGAUAACGAGAGACUUUUUUUUUUUUUUUUUUUUUUUUUUUUUUUAUAGUAAAUGGCAAACUCAGGAAGGACUUCCAGCUGCCAAUGCAGA